CUCCUCAAGAGUGAUCCUGCUUGUGUUCUCAAAAGCAUCAGCAGUGUUAUAGAUAGUGUGUCUCCAGACCUCCCGAUUGGAGGCCAGAGUAGACCAGUUGUGUUGAUCAGUAUGGCCAAGACUGAGAUGAACAGACUGACAAAAG